rnacentral:rRNA from 1 species
AACGAACGCUGGCGGCAUGCCUAACACAUGCAAGUCGAACGAGACCUUCGGGUCUAGUGGCGCACGGGUGCGUAACGCGUGGGAAUCUGCCCUCAGGUACGGAAUAACUCAGGGAAACUUGAGCUAAUACCGUAUAAUGACUUCGGUCCAAAGAUUUAUCGCCUGAGGAUGAGCCCGCGUCGGAUUAGCUAGUUGGUGAGGUAAAAGCUCACCAAGGCGACGAUCCGUAGCUGGUCUGAGAGGAUGAUCAGCCACACUGGGACUGAGACACGGCCCAGACUCCUACGGGAGGCAGCAGUGGGGAAUAUUGGACAAUGGGGGAAACCCUGAUCCAGCAAUGCCGCGUGAGUGAUGAAGGCCUUAGGGUUGUAAAGCUCUUUUACCCGGGAAGAUAAUGACUGUACCGGGAGAAUAAGCCCCGGCUAACUCCGUGCCAGCAGCCGCCGUAA